GGUCCUCCCUCGCCCCCCUCUCCUAGGGUUGCUUGGAAAUCUCUGAGGGGCCCGCGCAGCAGUCGCGCCAGGCUGCACGACGCGGGGCUGCUAUUGGCGUCGGUUCCGGAGACGGCCACAGCGUGGCAGCAGCGAGCGCCCGGCGCGGUCGCAAUAAAUUAUCUGCCCGCGGCAGCCGCAGUCAGGCAGCCCACGACCCCGCGAUGCAAAUACGCCGCUUUAUCCGCCCCAGCGCAUCCCGCCCCACCCCCAACGCGAGUGGUAGUCCCCAACGUCCACAGCCCCUUCUCAAGUAUCGAAUGCAUACCAAGGCAUCAUCUUAAGGUGGGGAAAACAAUAACCACCAAAAUAAAACAAAUAACAAAAAGAACUCGGGCCCAGAACCGCAGGGUCAUUUCGCUGUCCCAGGAAGCUACCGGGACAAAUCUGGCCAAGGUUCACCUAAGCCAAGUCAGCUUUGCGCCACGGCGCUCGUUCAAGCCCACGCCCGCUGCACCCUCCGCGCCUCCUCGCAGGCGGCUGCACAGUCCUCUCCCAGCUCUCUCGGGAGAUGCGGAGCGCUGUCGCCAGUCAACCCGCUGCGCCGAGGUGGUUGGGGGGGGGGUGUCCCCCUAUCGCCCAGAUUCGAUUUGUGUCCUUCCUUCAACCUUAGCUGCGGCCCCUGCCACUCACAAUAACCCUACUACAUCCUCUGCACCGAAACUUCCCGCCAAGCAACACCCAACAAUUAACCCCAUCCUCUCCUUCAACACAGAAUUCCACCCACGAACCUGUUCCCUCUCCCCGCACGCUCCAGACAUCCCUCUCAUCGGAAAACCACGCGAAGUGAAGCAGGCACUCAGCAGAAGACUCUGGCUGAAUUAAUGGCGGUUCCCAGAAGCUCCAGUCCCUCUGACAGCUGUCGCUUGGGCAGCCUGGGGAGACGAAUUGUCCUUCGUGGUGCUAGAGGACGCAGGAAAUUAGCCAGGUUGCGAGUUGCAAAGCGGCCGCCGCGGCGCCGGGGACUGGGCACACCCCACCUCCAGCGGGAGCGGCCGGGCCGGGCCGGGCCGGAGCCUCGUCUCGCUCGCCAUCGCUGGACAAAGCACAGCUGAGCCUGGCUGGAAGGCUGAGCUCCGAAGCAGGCAGGACGGAGCGGAGCAAAAGAAUGCGGCUCUAUUCUCGCAAGGGAAAUUAUAAAAAAGUUCAUGUUCACGGUUCCCAUCCACAUGACCGACAGCGGCCAAUGGAAGGGCCGAACAACUCAUAAAGUUGUAUUGCAAAGUUGUAAAUUUUCAUAAACAACAACGGAUUUAUGACCCUUUCCCCAUCACUAAGAGGAGGCAGCUCCUACACCGGCGCCAUCUUACCACUGAGGCGGCCCCGACUCAGGGACGCAGGUUUUACAGACCCAGUUGUGCCAGGGGUUUAUUAAAAGAGUAAUAAGAAGNNNNNNNNNNNNNNNNNNNNNNNNNNNNNNNNNNNNNNNNNNNNNNNNNNNNNNNNNNNNNNNNNNNNNNNNNNNNNNNNNNNNNNNNNNNNNNNNNNNAAGCCGGUCCAACCCAAGCAGGAGACGGGAGUGGAGGUCUUCGCCCGCCGAGCUGCCACUGUUCUGCGCUGUUCCCACCGCCCCUCGCCCCUUUCCCAGCCCCUCAUUUUUCCGCAUCCAGAGGCCCCUGUCAGGGUUUCGCAGCGGGGUCUGCGGCCAGUGCCCCUUCUACCCCUUAGCUUCAUUGCUGGGUUCUGGGGCCGCCUCGCUUUUCCUGAAUGUGAGGCUGGGGGCGGCACCAGAGGCCCUGAAUCCUGCGUCCUUUCCCGGGCCUGGGGAAUUCGGAAUCAGUCGCAGGAUGGUAUACCUUUUGAACCCACUCUAUAACCUUAGAGGAAAGGGUGGAAUCCACGGAGAGUCUGGGGGAGGUUCAUAGAACAGACUAUAAUCGAAGAUUUCCGCUUUCAAGGGAUCUAGAAGAUGUUUGUAUACACACCCAAACCAGACAAAAAUCUCCAAAGAAAUGUACAAUUAUGGACACACAGAAAUGUGUGCACACAAUUAUGGACACAGAAAUACAUACAAUUGUGGACUCACAAAAACACACAAAGAGGUACACAUACACCUAUAUAAAUCUCCAUAGCAAUCCAUGAGAAAAGAGAUUCAACAGGCGUAUACACUAAUACUUGACACCCAGCACUUGAACCCUAUCCAUCCUUCCAUUUUUGCUGUCCCAAAGCCCUUUUGGCCAUACAGACCUAGCCAGGGCUUGCUCUCCAGACAUGCUUCACCCUCUCUUCCCCAGCACACUGCAACUCCCAGAUAAGGCAGUCCACAGUUCUUUGUCAUCAAGCAUCUUUAUUUUUCUGUUACAUAAAACACUGUUAACUGGGCAAGAUGGGAAGUGUAGGAAAAUGUACCUUCCCGUUCCUGGAAGCCCAGGCUAGAGCUGAGAGGGAUGAGGGGGACACAGGACAACACAGGAGAUGAAGGGCACUGGUGAGGGCAUCAGUCCACUCACCAGCUAUAGAGUUAGCUCAAGACAACACACCAUGCUACAAAGCCACCCCAUUAACACAUCCUUCCCAAGUCAGGACAUUGCCUUACAAAUGAGCUCCAAGACUAUAUAAAUGACCCCCAAAAAAUUCAUUUUCAAAUAUACAAUAUUUGCCAUUGCAGGAAAAGUCAGGAUACACAUAUUCAACAUAGCUGGACAGUGGGACACAGGGGCCAGGGGUGGGGGCAGGGAAGCUGGGAGCAUCUCUGCAGUCCUACUAAGCAGAAGCGAACCCAGAGGCCCAGGCAGCUAGCUUGGGAAUGCUCCAGAAGGAGGGGACGAUGGGCCUGAACAUGAGGUGCCCAGACCAAAGAAAGAGAAUUCUAGAUUGUAGCACUUAGAAUGCUUUGGAAUAAAUAUAUUAUUUUUCCAUUUAAAUAGAAGCCAAUGCCCUGGUCCCCGGAUCCCAGCGCCUUGUCAGCGCAGCCUCAGGGACCCCAAAGGCUACUAGCCGGAAGCAGCAGAGGCCUGGCCGAGGAGGGGGGAGGGUUCGGCACUAGGUAGCAGGCGAGCCAUCGAGCACAAAAUAGGUAGUUUGGGGCGAGUAGGUAGUACUGAGAAUCAGGUCCUUGCCGGUACCGGGGGAGGUGCUGGGGGUCUGACAGUGUUGGGACACUUCUGGGCUUCCUGGGAGUGGAGCCCCUCUGGGGCUGGGCCCAUAGGUAGUUUGGGAGUGCCUCUCCCGGAGGAGGCCUGUGCUAGGUAGUAUUUUAACCGUGCCAGCGCAAAGCUGGUCGGCCUAGGGUUGGGGGUGUCUGUUGGGGGUCCUCAGAGGCAGAGGGGAUCCCCAACGGGACCCAGUCUGGUGACUGUUCAGUCCAAAAAAUUUUGGGAGCUGGAGUGGGUAAUGGGGUAGAUUGGGCGCGGGUUGGGGAGUGGGGUUUUUUUUUUUUAACAUUUUCUUAUUAUU
ensembl:lncRNA